AAUAGAUACCCAGGUAGUCCACGCUGUAAACGAUGAUCACUAGGUGUUGGGGGUAUCGACCCCCCAGUGCCGUAGCUAACGCGUUAAGUGAUCCGCCUGGGGAGUACGGUCGCAAGACUGAAACUCAAAGGAAUUGACGGGGGCCCGCACAAGCGGUGGAGGAUGUGGUUUAAUUCGACGCAACGCGAAGAACCUUACCAAGGCUUGACAUCCCUAGAACCCUCUGGAAACAGAGGGGUGCCUGAAAGGGAACUAGGAGACAGGUGGUGCAUGGCUGUCGUCAGCUCGUGUCGUGAGAUGUUGGGUUAAGUCCCGCAACGAGCGCAACCCUCGUGGUUAGUUGCCAACAGGUAAUGCUGGGCACUCUAGCCAGACUGCCGGUGACAAGCCGGAGGAAGGUGGGGACGACGUCAAGUCAUCAUGCCCCUUACGUCUUGGGCUACACACGUCCUACAAUGGCCGGAACAAAGGGCUGCAAGCUAGCGAUAGCAAGCGAAAUCCCAAAAACUCCGGCCUCAGUUCAGAUUGCAGGCUGCAACG
rnacentral:rRNA from 1 species